rnacentral:rRNA from 1 species
GUGGGGAAUUUUGGACAAUGGGCGCAAGCCUGAUCCAGCAAUGCCGCGUGCAGGAAGAAGGCCUUCGGGUUGUAAACUGCUUUUGUACGGAACGAAACGGUCCGGGUUAAUACCCUGGGCUAAUGACGGUACCGUAAGAAUAAGCACCGGCUAACUACGUGCCAGCAGCCGCGGUAAUACGUAGGGUGCAAGCGUUAAUCGGAAUUACUGGGCGUAAAGCGUGCGCAGGCGGUUUUGUAAGACAGGCGUGAAAUCCCCGGGCUCAACCUGGGAAUUGCGCUUGUGACUGCAAGGCUGGAGUGCGGCAGAGGGGGAUGGAAUUCCGCGUGUAGCAGUGAAAUGCGUAGAUAUGCGGAGGAACACCGAUGGCGAAGGCAAUCCCCUGGGCCUGCACUGACGCUGAGGAGCGAAAGCUAGGGGAGCAAACGGGAUUAGAUACCCGGGUAGUCC